rnacentral:rRNA from 1 species
UACGUAGGGUGCAAGCGUUGUCCGGAAUUAUUGGGCGUAAAGGGCUCGUAGGCGGUUUGUCGCGUCGGGAGUGAAAUCAUCUGGCUUAACUGGGUGCUUGCUUUCGAUACGGGCAGACUAGAGGUAUGCAGGGGAGAACGGAAUUCCUGGUGUAGCGGUGAAAUGCGCAGAUAUCAGGAGGAACACCGGUGGCGAAGGCGGGUCUCUGGGCCGAUACUGACGCUGAGGAGCGAAAGCGUGGGGAGCGAACAGG